UACGUAGGGUGCGAGCGUUAAUCGGAAUUACUGGGCGUAAAGUGUGCGCAGGCGGCACCGCAAGUCGAGUGUGAAAGCCCCGGGCUUAACUUGGGAAUUGCGCUCGAAACUAUGGUGCUGGAGUGUGGCAGAGGAAGGUGGAAUUCCACGUGUAGCGGUGGAAUGCGCAGAUAUCAGGAGGAACACCGGUGGCGAAGGCGGGUCUCUGGACGGCAACUGACGCUGAGGCACGAAAGCGUGGGGAGCAAACAGG
rnacentral:rRNA from 1 species